rnacentral:rRNA from 1 species
AUUGAACGCUGGCGGCAGGCCUAACACAUGCAAGUCGAACGCGUGGCGGACGGGUGAGUAAUGUCUGGGAAACUGCCCGAUGGAGGGGGGUAACUACUGGAAACGGUAGCUAAUACCGCAUACCAUCGGAUGUGCCCAGAUGGGAUUAGCUUUUUGGUGAGGUAACGGCUCACCUAGGCGACGAUCCCUAGCUGGUGUGAGAGGAUGACCAGCCACACUGGAACGGAGACACGGUCCAGACUCCUACGGGAGGCAGCAGUGGGGAAUAUUGCAAAAUGGGCGCAAGCCUGAUGCAGCCAGGCCGGGUGUAUGAAGAAGGCCUUCGGGUUGUAAAGUACUUUCAGCGGGGAGGCUUUACCCGCAGAAGAAGCACCGGCUAACUCCGUGCCAGCAGCCGCGGUAAUAC